rnacentral:pre_miRNA from 1 species
UAUCAAAUUUAUACAUGAACUUUGGUCCAAUGUGUAAUUUGAUACAUGAACUUUAAUUAUACACCUAGACCUCGAAUUGUGGUUCAAAUAUAUAAAUGAAAGUUUGAUUUUGAUACAAUUAACACAUUUAAAAAAUGAAUGCAUACAUUUAUUUUCAUAAGUAUGGCAUUACACAUUAGAUCAAAAUUCUUGUAUGCUUUUAUAU